rnacentral:rRNA from 1 species
AGUGAACGCUGGCGGCAGGCCUAAUACAUGCAAGUCGAACGACAGCAUAGUAAGCGCUCGCUCCUACGGGUGGCGAGUGGCGGACGGGUGAGACAUACAUAGGCUACUACUUUUUCGUGGGGGACAUCGUAGGGAAACAUCUGCUAAUACCUCAUAUGACCAACGGGAGAAAUCAGGAGUUAUACGCACUUUGCCUGUCUCAAUGAGACGAAGUCGGAUUAGCUAGUUGGCGAGGUAAAGGCCCACCAAGGCAACGAUGCGUAGCUGGUCUGAGAGGAUGAUCGGCCACACUGGAACUGAGACACGGUCCAGACUCCUACGGGAGGCAGCAGUAGGGAAUAUUCGACAAUGGGCGCAAGCCUGAUCCAGCCAUGCCGCGUGGGUGAAGAAGGCCUUCGGAUUGUAAAGCCCUUUUAUUAGGAAAGAAAAGCAGCAUGAUAAUACACCGCUGUUCUGACGGUACCCAAAGAGUAAGCACCGGCUAACUUCGUG